rnacentral:rRNA from 1 species
GAUGAACGCUGGCGGCGUGCUUAACACAUGCAAGUCGAACGGAAAGGCCCUGCUUUUGCGGGGUGCUCGAUUGGCGAACGGGUGAGUAACACGUGAGUAACCUGCCCUUGACUUUGGGAUAACUUCAGGAAACUGGGGCUAAUACCGGAUAGGAGCUCCUGCUGCAUGGUGGGGGUUGGUAAGUUUCGGCGGUUGGGGCUGGACUCGCGGCUUAUCAGCUGCUUUGUGGGGUAGUGGCUUACCAAGGCUAUGACGGGUAGCCGGCCUGGGAGGGUUACCGGCGACAAUGGGACUGAGAUACGGACCAGACUCCUACGGGAGGCAGCAGUGGAGAGUAUUACAGAGUGGGCGGAAGCCUGAUGCAGCAGCGCCGCGUGCGGGAUGACGGCCUUCGGGUGGUAAACCGAUUUCGCCUGUGACGAAGCGUGAGUGACGGUAAUGGGUAAAGAAGCACCGGCUAACUACGUG